rnacentral:miRNA from 1 species
GCUGACACAUCCCAGCCAAUCUCCAGCAGACCCUCCCUCCCAGACCCUCCCACCUCCUGGACAGCAUCCAUGUUGAAGCUGCCUUCAACAUGGAUGCUGUCCAGGAGGUGGGAGGGUCUGGGAGGGAGGGCCUGCUGGAGAUUGGCCGGGAUGUGUCAG